rnacentral:rRNA from 1 species
AGUGAACGCUGGCGGUAGGCCUAACACAUGCAAGUCGAACGGCAGCACAGUAAGAGCUUGCUCUUACGGGUGGCGAGUGGCGGACGGGUGAGGAAUACAUCGGAAUCUACUUUUUCGUGGGGGAUAACGUAGGGAAACUUACGCUAAUACCGCAUACGACCUACGGGUGAAAGCAGGGGAUCUUCGGACCUUGCGCGAUUGAAUGAGCCGAUGUCGGAUUAGCUAGUUGGCGGGGUAAAGGCCCACCAAGGCGACGAUCCGUAGCUGGUCUGAGAGGAUGAUCAGCCACACUGGAACUGAGACACGGUCCGGACUCCUACGGGAGGCAGCAGUGGGGAAUAUUGGGCAAUGGGCGCAAGCCUGAUCCAGCCAUACCGCGUGGGUGAAGAAGGCCUUCGGGUUGUAAAGCCCUUUUGUUGGGAAAGAAAAGCAGCAGGUUAAUACCCCGCUGUUCUGACGGUACCCAAAGAAUAAGCACCGGCUAACUUCGUG